GUGAACGCUGGCGGUAGGCCUAACACAUGCAAGUCGAACGGCAGCACAGUAAGAGCUUGCUCUUACGGGUGGCGAGUGGCGGACGGGUGAGGAAUACAUCGGAAUCUACUUUUUCGUGGGGGAUAACGUAGGGAAACUUACGCUAAUACCGCAUACGACCUACGGGUGAAAGCAGGGGAUCUUCGGACCUUGCGCGAUUGAAUGAGCCGAUGUCGGAUUAGCUAGUUGGCGGGGUAAAGGCCCACCAAGGCGACGAUCCGUAGCUGGUCUGAGAGGAUGAUCAGCCACACUGGAACUGAGACAUGGUCCAGACUCCUACGGGAGGCAGCAGUGGGGAAUAUUGGACAAUGGGCGCAAGCCUGAUCCAGCCAUACCGCGUGGGUGAAGAAGGCCUUCGGGUUGUAAAGCCCUUUUGUUGGGAAAGAAAAGCAGCAGGUUAAUACCCCGCUGUUCUGACGGUACCCAAAGAAUAAGCACCGGCUAACUUCGUG
rnacentral:rRNA from 1 species